GAUGAAGAACGUAGCGAAAUGCGAUACGUAAUGUGAAUUGCAGAAUUCAGUGAAUCAUCGAAUCUUUGAACGCAUAUUGCGCUCUCUGGUAUUCCGGAGAGCAUGCUUGUUUGAGUAUCAGUAAACACCUCAACUUCCAUAUCUUUUUUGAAAUGGAAGUUGGACUUGAGUGAUCCCAACGCUUUUCCUCACCGAAAAGUGGCGGGUUACUUGAAAUGCAGGUGCAGCUGGACUUUUCUCUGAGCUAUAAGCAUAUCUAUUUAGUCUGCCUAAAAAACAGAUUAUUACCUUUGCUGCAGCUAACAUAAAGGAGAUUAGUUCUUGUGCUGACUGAUGCAGGAUUCACAAAGACAGGCUUCGGCCGACUUUGUAAACUCGAUCUCAAAUCAAGUAAGACUACCCGCUGAACUUAAGCAUAUCAAUAAGCGGAGGA
rnacentral:misc_RNA from 1 species